rnacentral:misc_RNA from 1 species
UGAUGGGAGAUGUUCUUAAGCUGUUUCCACAUUUUAAUCCAUCUCUCCUUUGGAAAUUGGCGGAGUUGAUCAACCAUGUAACCUGGUUGAAUUGCCUCAUUUAUAGAGAAGAAAACUGAGAAUUGGCUGUAAUCAAUGUCAUCCUCAUAAGGGAGCUCAAUUUGAUCACUCACAAUGACUGGAACACAAUGGCUUACAAUAGCA